UACGAAGGGGGCUAGCGUUGCUCGGAAUCACUGGGCGUAAAGCGCACGUAGGCGGCUUGUUAAGUCAGGGGUGAAAUCCUGGAGCUCAACUCCAGAACUGCCUUCGAUACUGGGAGUCUCGAGUCCGAGAGAGGUGAGUGGAACUGCGAGUGUAGAGGUGAAAUUCGUAGAUAUUCGCAAGAACACCAGUGGCGAAGGCGGCUCACUGGCUCGGUACUGACGCUGAGGUGCGAAAGCGUGGGGAGCAAACAGG
rnacentral:rRNA from 1 species